GUCGUCCCUUACAAGUAAGUGCGCCAAUAUUUUUGUCUUUGAACAAUCUGCAAUUUACAAUCAAUAAAUUUAAGUCUUUGCAUAACAAUAAUAAUCUAUUUUCCAUAAUUAUCCAGACUAGAACGUUUUGUACAAAUGACUGAUGCAUCUAAGUUUACAAAGUCAAAAUUCUGCUGAAUCUCCUUGUCAAGUUGAACUGAUUCACUAACAUAGUGAUUCAUUUCAACAAAGCCAUCUUUCUUUCUGGUAUGUGCGUUAAAGUCGCCAAGAAGGCAGAUGUUGUAGUUUUUGUCGGCUGCAUACUUUAAAAUUUCAGUUUCUAUAACAUCGAAAAUGUCAAUAGAGAUAAAUUCACUGCCUUCAGGUGGUAUGUAACAUGCACCAAAUAAAACAUGUUCAUAUAAAAUAUUAUUAACAAUAAACCACAAUGCAUUUUCACUAGAACAUUC
rnacentral:lncRNA from 1 species